AUUUAUGGCGGGGCGUGGUGGGGAGGCUAACGCCUGCUGGUUUCUUGAACGCCAGUCUGUCAACCCUGCUACGUCUCGCCACCCAU
rnacentral:antisense_RNA from 1 species